UACGAAGGGGGCUAGCGUUGCUCGGAAUGACUGGGCGUAAAGGGCGCGUAGGCGGAUGGUACAGUCAGAUGUGAAAUUCCCGGGCUCAACCUGGGGGCUGCAUUUGAUACGUAUGAUCUUGAGUGGGGAAGAGGGUCGUGGAAUUCCCAGUGUAGAGGUGAAAUUCGUAGAUAUUGGGAAGAACACCGGUGGCGAAGGCGGCGACCUGGUCCUUAUACUGACGCUGAGGCGCGAAAGCGUGGGUAGCAAACAGG
rnacentral:rRNA from 1 species